GGAUGAGAAGAAGGCCAAGAAGGCUGAGGUGGCGAAAUCUCAGAAGACACAAUCCAAGGGUGGUGCUGCACAGAAGGGUCCUAAAGGCCCGAAGAUCGGCGGUGGCGGUGGGAAGCGCUGAAUAUCAUAGACAUACUAGUACUGUCAACUAGCCUACCCUCCGAUACUAUCUUUAGACCUUGGUCAAGUUAGUCUCGUUUCAGUUGUUGUCACCUUUCCAAUGAGAUUGGCGUGUCCUGAAUGUUUUGGAUUGUUUCGGGAGUUGAUUUACAUUAGCACUUAUCUUUGUUAAUUAUUGUUCAGCAA
rnacentral:lncRNA from 1 species